UUAAGUUCAGCGGGUAGUCCUACCUGAUUUGAGGUCAGAUUUCAAAGUUUGCUUUGACCGCCGCUCUGAGAGGCAGGUCGUGGAAGGGCUCAAAAGGGGGGACUCUGUCGAGCGAGGAUGGUACAACGCCCAGUCGAGUUUGACCCACAGGCCCAACCGACGCAUUUAAGGGGAGCCGCCUCACGGCAGCAGGGCCCCCA
rnacentral:misc_RNA from 1 species